GAUAAACCAUGGACACUAAUUAGCUGCUGAAUUGAAAAAAAAAAGGCAGCUGCAAAUUCAGGACUCUGAUUGCGUUUGAUCAGCAGAUACUGGUGGUUGUUACAUAGAUUAGUGAUGUGCGUGCUGGAUUUAAGUCGUUUCCAAAAACUGUAUUUUGGCUGCAUACACAUGUGUUUGCUCUCUCUGUGUGACUGGACCUUAGCUUUACAUAUAGGUCAAAACAAGCUCCUUAUUUAUUUCCAAGAACUGCUUUAAGUAACCUUAGAAGGAGUAUUAUUGCUAACAAGGAACAUGUUAUCUGGUUUUGUUCUCUUUUAGCCUGAAGGAGAGAGAGCAUGAUGGUGAAACAAUUCUGACUGGGUGUGUAUCAUCUAGAUAUUCUGGUGUGAACAUUUGCAGACCUAGAAUGAGGCAGGAGGGAUUCUAAAUGAAACCACCAAGUUGGACAGCAACAGAGUGAUGCGAUAAAGUAAUGAUCAUAAACUUACGCAAAUGGGUGCAGUUUCUUUGAAUUUGGAAAUAUUAAAUUCACAUAGUCCAGCCCUUCUGAUAAUAAGACUAACUGUCCUUAAGUGGACUCCCAAGUUGUUCAUGACUUGGUAGCUACACCAUAUAUUGAAUCUUACACACCAUGGGACAGUUUGAAUUAGAGUUAGCUACAUUUAUGUGAUAGCUACAUGGGAUAAAUGAGAAUAUUUUUGUCUCCCUUUGCACAUCUACCCUGAGAUUUGAAAAUCCAGCUUUUAUUUGUAUUCCCAAAGGUCCAGUUGUUUUAUUAAUGAAUGCAUUUUUAGAAGGUAAAGAAAUAACCUGCCCCCAUGUCAUACCCUGAGGAAUAAGAAAAGGUAUAGCCAUGUACAAAUAUGGUGGGUCACUGAGUACACAACUAAAAAUGCAUCUUUCAUGCAGAAUCUAUACAACUUUGCACACCUCAAAAGGAGUGGGUAGCUGAGGUUGCUUUUAUUCAACUCUGGUCAGAUUUUACAGGCCGUGGUAUUGAUUUUAUUCUGGGGAUAAUGAUUUGUUUCUCAGAAGAUCUAAGAACCCCCUUUUCAAAAAGGUAGAAGACUUGGGGUCUUAACAACAAUCAUAUUAACUGAUAUUUGUCAAGUCUUUACCCAGUGACAGGCAAUGAGCUAAGUGCUUUUUUGAGAAUUAUUUAAGCCUCAUGACAGCUCUAGAAAGUUGGGAUAUUAUUAUGUUCUCGCUUAGAGGUAGAGACUGAGGAUUAGCAAGUUUAGGUGAUUUACAGUGAUAUAAUACGUGGUGGAACCAUGCAUUCAAACCUAGCCAGUCUGUCUUCAGAACUCACAGUCUCCACUGAGCUGUUUGUGAUCCACCAUUCCCACCUUUCCCUCUGUCCUUUUCAUUCAGGGAAUCCAUGAGCUUUGGCAAUGAUUCUCUCUAAAAUGUCUCAAUACAUACCAGAUACAAGUGUUAGCUCUCAAGUUGUUAAAUAAAUAUGCUUUUUCUGAAAAUUUAUGUUAAGAGAAAUUUCAGAUCAUAAAACAAGAGGUACAUUCAAAGGGAAAUUCAAAGGGAAACAGCACUGAAUUUGGAGUUAAUGAUAUUAAGUCACUCAAACAUCUUUUUUCUUAUUUUACCAAAUUUGCUUUUAUUUUGACAACUCAUACCCAACUCUAUACAAAAACAAAAAACAAAACAAAAACUAAAAAUGCUGACACAUUAAUGGCAAUAAACAAUUUUUAUUUGCGUACUACUUUGCAUUUCAUAAGGUUGAAAGAUUUUGGUUUGAGUCCUGGCUUUAUCUAACAGGAAUAUUCUGAGAUGGAAAGUAAGUGUGUGAGUGAAUGUGUAAGCAAGUGGACAAUAGUUUUACAGUUUAUGUACUAUUUCAGAGAGUCUAUUAUUUGACAAUUGCAUCACUGAAUCUCUAAGAUGGAGAAGAUAUGGAUUAGUAUGAUCUCUCUACUUACAGUUAAGAAAAGUUAGGCAAAAAAAAAAAAAAAAAAAUUAUAAAAGAUUUAAAGCCAGACUAAACUGAGGUUUUUCUGAUUCUGUGUAUGAUAAAGUGUUAACAUAAACUAAGAAUAAUAACAAUAGUAACAAUAAUGAUAUGGUAGGCAAAAAAUCUUCAUCCUAAAAGGCUUAAGGGCUCUAGUGGUAAUGUCUGUGUCACCAAGCGAAUGGUCUGAAUCCUCAGAGAACACACGGAGAGUCAUUAUCUGCAUGGCCGCAUUACCAUAGUCCUGGGAUGCGCAUCUUGGAUGUCCCAAGGUGUUUGGUCUCCUGUACACUGGCUCACCUUCACCAUACUCAUGAAAGCUGAUGCAAACAAAACAAAACAGAAACCAAGUAUGUUAUUUCCAAAAGGGACCUUCCUUUCUAAUAACCUAAAUCCUUUCUAAUAUCCUGCUCUCAAUGAUAAUUUUCAGUCAGUGUGCAUGGGAACUGAAAUAAGGUCUGGAACAUUAAUUGGCGAACCUACAAUCGGUAUAAUAGAAACACAUUUCAACUAAGCCAGUAGUUUUUUUUCCUUUUUUCUUUUUGCUUUAAGACGUGGACUCCUUGGUCAAGUGUAUAACAGAUGGGAGCAGAACUGCUAAGAAUCUGCACCCCACUCCCCCCACCCAUACUCCCACUGCAGCAUCUGAAGGGGCUUUAAGAACUCAAGAUAUAGGAUUGAAAAUCACUCAUCUAGGCCAUGGAGAAGUCUGAGGAAGCACCUCUGCCUUAAAGCAGACACGCAUCUUUCCUGAAAGGUGGCUUACAUCCCCAAAAUUAAUCAUCUCUUUCCCUGAGCACUUUGCCAGAUAAACUUGGGCAAAUUUGGUUGUUCACUGAAUUUUCUCCUUCCUCUUUUUUCUGACCGUCUCCAUCAGUUAACACAUUCCUUCUCCUGGGGUGUUUAUACCUUUGACUGGGUAACAACCAGUCUUGCUCCUCCCUUUUGGGGCCUGAGAAGUUUUCUGUUACUUUAGGAUGGCUUCUGCUGCACCUCAUCUCUCCUCUGUGCUGAUUUUAUUCAACUUAUUUUCAGUCCUGUGAUAUCUCACAGGUCUCUUCAUUCGUGCUCCCUGUACUUGAUUCUCAUAAUAUCAAGAAGAUCAAUUAUGUCAAAUAAAAGAGAAAAGGCCAUAGGUAUAAUAAUAUUCUUGAUGUUUUAUGUACCAGUGGACACUAAAGUUCGGUUUUAGUUCGCACAGUUCCUUGACCAAAUAUUUAGAUUUACAUGUUGGAGGAAUUUGGGCAUGAUACAGUUUGCCGCCUUUAUCUCUUGUAAGCUCUCUACCUCUAACUUUACUAAGGAGCAUUCAUGGCACAAUGGUUAAAUACUCAGCUGUUAACCUACAGUUCCAACCCACCAGCAGUUCUGAGGAAGAAAAGACCUGUCGAUCUGCUUCUGUAGAGACUACAGCCUAGGAAACCGUAUGGGAUAGUUCUAUUUUGUCAAAUAGGGUCAGUAUGAGUAGGAAUCAACUAGAUAGCACAACAACCACAAUUGUUUACUUCUGUCCCACAAAUAAUGCAAUGGAUUGUAUGUCUGUUUUUCUUGGUAACUGAUUUUGGGGGUGGUAUCUGGCUGAAAACUUUUGGUGAGGAAACAGCCUGAGUUAUAAGCUGGGAAUAGUAAUUUGACCUUAGUGUACCGCUAAUGCACUCUGUUAACUGUUUAUAUUUGAACUUUGCCAGAUACUUAAAUAUCAUUUUAAUCACAUUUUGGUAAUAAAAGAUGUUGACGGAUCAGUAAUUGUGAGACUCCAAUAAAUGUUUCUUUAAUUGAUUUAUGUAAGGUAUUUAUUACCUUCCAAAUUUCAUAACAAUAGUGAUUCAAAUACUUAGCUAUGAUGGAACAAGAUCUCCAUUUUGAUAUAAAAGCAGAAGGUCUUAACGUGUCUCUCAAGUUUUCUUUGAUAUCUUUGAAACUAACCUUUAAAACAUUAUUUAAGGAUACACUGUAUUUAUGAGUUUAUAUUUUAUCAUAUAUUCAUACAUGAUUGAAUAUAAUACUAUAAAGUAUGAAAAAGAUGUAAGUUGAAGUUAAGCUUCAGUGGUUUUUAAUUACAAUGGGGCUAUCAUAGGAGGCUGGCUUCAAAAGAUCUUUGAAAAUAAUUAAACAUUAUUUUAUUUUAUAGGAGCAAAAUAACGUUUUGUGAAGUAACAACUGACAGGUGUUUUGGCAUCUGUGUUAGAAAUUUAAAAAUGAUAUCCUUGAGAAUUCUCUGUGACACUGCAGUCCUUACACGGUGAUCUACAGGCAGAUAUUUAUUUGCAUUUUUUGAUAGUCCUGUGUCCAUGAGUACUAUAAACUUGUGACAUGUGAGGGAACUGGCCAGUCAAUAUAAUUGUCUAUAUAAAACGUCUAUAAGCAGUUCUGGUUCAGGGUUCUUGCUACAAACUUUGGCUUUUCUAGCUCUUUUAUUAUCUUUUUAGUACAUUUGUAAAACAAACAAGAAAAUACAUUUUCAGCCUACCACCAGGGGAAUCAUCCAUCUGUUUUUGAAUGCACAUAAUAGCAAAUAAGUUGUAAAUGGUGUUUAAUAAAGGGUUUUUAUACAAGGAACCCCCCUCAUCCAAAUAUAUUGUCACCUUAAUUGUAGUUUCUGUUACAUCAUGUUGUCAUCUUAUGAUUCCUUGUAAUUUGUACCUGUAAAAGGCAAGGAUUGCUGCCAUGGCUAAGUUGAGUCUAAAUAUAAAUUAUUAAGGAUCUUCAGCCUGCCUUCCAUCCACCGUGAGAAAAUUUGAAAAGGGACAAACCUAUAACAGAGAGGAGAAAUUCUGGCCUCAGAGUCAACAAGGUCAGCAGGGGUGUUGUAAGAAGUACAGUUAUAAACAGGGAUUUAUUGAGGGUACCUCUAUUCCUCUCCCCAAUUUCUGUUCCCAGAGCAGAGUCAUUUGGUAGAUGUUUGAUUAAAAAAAAAAAAAAAAAGAUGGUUCUUCUGGAAAGAAAUGGAAUGGAUUUUCUUGGGAAAGCUAAGGCUUUUUAAUAUAGCUAUUAAUGUUCCAGAAUAAAGGUAAUAAAGCUCCUCCUACUCUGUCAGUUUAAGGAGUUGGACUUAAACCUGGCAAAUGGCUUCCUGCUGUUGUACCUUAACCUGCAAGUUGACAAGUUUCACUCAUUGUCUUUUGUCUUUGGUGCCCUACUCCACACAAAUAUCCCAGUCAAUAUUAUCACUCAAGGAAAGACUUAGGGAAAAUAUCUUCUUACCCAACUGCAGAAGAAACCUUCAUGAGCAACUCUGUCUUUCUUUCUUAACUAUGAAUGGACAACCAAUGAGUAGGCCUAUGAGGAGACCCAAUAGCAUGAAAGUGAAAGAUCAAAUAAACGAAAAAGAACGCUGAUUCCAGGGGAAAGAUUAACAAUUCAGGGAGCAUAAGUACAUUAUUUUCUUAGUCAUAUAAUACAUUCGGAGAGAUUUGAGAGCAUACUGUAUCUGUAAAAUAAGAAUUAGGGGUAGUAUAAAAAAGGAGCCAUCAGAAAGCUGAAUAGUAACUCUUAGAGAUUAAAAAAAAAAUGGUUGCUGAUACUAAAUUAAUAAAGUUAGAAAACAAUGUUGAGAAAAUCUUGCAGAAGAUAGGGCAAGAAGAGAAAUAGAAAAAAAUAUAAAAAACAAAGCUAAAAGACAUAGAUGCCAAUAAAGGAGAUAUAGUAUUUGGCAAAUAGGAAUCUCAGAAAAAGAAAAUAUCGAAAAUAAAAAUAUAAGAGACUAGCAAAACAAAACAGUAACCCAGACCUGAAGAAAGAUAUUGGUCAUUUGAUUGCUCUCAUGCAAUAAUUCACACCUAGGUACAUUGUGUUUAAAUUUUAGAACACCAAGGAUAAGGAUGAGGUCAUAAAGACUUUAAAGAGAAGAAAAAAUUGUCUUCCAAAAGAACAUGGUCCAUAUUUAUAUCCGAUUUCUCAGGCACAGCACAGGAUGCUAGAAGACAGAGCAUGAUUUUCAGAGUUGUGAGGGAAAAUCUCUUUUUUCAACUUAAAAUUAUAUCUGCCCUCCUUUUUCUAAAGGCAGAUAGAAGACAUUUUCUGAUAUUUCAGGAGCCCAGAAAAUUUCUCUCUUAAUCUACCACCAAAUCCUGUGGUAGAUUGAAAAUUGCAGUAAAUCCUUUAACAUUCUUCCCACUGAGAGAUGUAGCCUAUAUCCUUUCCCCUUGAAUGUAAGUAAACUCUAUGACCGCUUUGACCAGUAGACUACAGUGCAAGGGGCACUGUGCCAGUUUCCUAGCCCAGACCUUAAGGAACUAUCAGCUUCCACUUCCUAUCUUUUGGAAUCCCUGAGCUACCAUGUAAGAAGAGACGGCCAUCUUGAAGUGGCCCCACUUAAGCAUUCUAGUCAACAUGUCAGAUGAACCCAGCUUUUCAGUCUAUCCAGCCAAGGGGAUAUCAGUGAUGCCAUCUUUGAAUUAAAAAUAAAUUUCAUGAGAAAUAAUUUAAAUGUAUGAUAUGUGAAAGAGCAGAGUACACAUUUCCAGGUAAGCUAAUUUUGAUUUACUUAGAUAAAAUAUUUACUCCUUUACAAGGAUUAAUUCAUAAUUUCUAGAAAAGGUACAUAUGGAGGAGACAUUCUAUUUCAUAUGAAGAGAAUCAUGUGCCUAGAGAUAUAGCAUUCUGUAUAGUUUUUAUUCUAAUAGCCCAAAUUAAGAGAACAGGGCAACAUAAGCUUUUGGAAGACAAAUUGUAGGGUAUAAAGACUGGUAGAAAUUUUAGGCAGAAGAGGUAAGAAUAGAAAGGCCACUUGGGUCAAAGUGGAAACCUUGAAGUAGUAGAUUGGAGAAUCCAUACUUUUUUUUGUAGACUGGGAAUAACUGAAGAUUUUUGGGUUGGCAGAUGGGAAGAGAGGCUCCCAUCAGGUCAUACUGGAAUAGGGCAAAACUUAGUGAUCUGGGAUUCAUCUAGCCAUUAUUCUGAGAAAAGUCCAGUUUUGGCAAGGAGAUGUACAGUCGUCUGUCCUGACUAUCCAUUAAAAUGAUCGUGUAUCAUGUGCAGAAGAGUCCACGUAAACAACGGACAGAUGUGGGAGGGGAAAACAGGUUAAAGUAAAACACAGCCUCCAUUUUCCAUUUCUGGAGUAUGUCAGAAACUAUAGUUUUAUUAGCCAGGGUCCAGUAUUAAAAGAGUAUUUCAAUCUCUGAGGCUUCCACUUAAUUCCAUGCUUAUUCAUAUUGAUUAUUAUUUAUAAUCACUAGUAAGACAAGCUACAGACUGGGAUAAAACAAUUGCAAAUCACACAUUUGACAAAGGAUUUAUAUCUAGAUUUUAUAAAGAAUUCUCAAAACUCAAUAAACAAUCCAGUUAGAAAAUGAGCAAAACAUGAACAAAAAAUCACUAAGGAAGAUAAAUAGAUGGCAUAUAAGUACAGGAGAAGUUGUUGAAUAUGAUUAGUCAUUGUCGUUGUUAGGUGCUGUCAUGGAUUGAAUUAUGUCCCCCCAAAAUAUGUGUCAACUUGGGUAGGCCAUGAGUCCCGAUAUUGUGUGAUUGCCUACCUUUUUGUCAUCUGGUGUGAUUUUCUUAUGUGUUAUGGGUCCUACCUCUAUGCUAUUAGUGAAGCAGGAUUAGAAACAGUUAUGUUAAUGAGUCAGGACUCAAUCUACAAGAUUAGGUUACAUUUUAGAAGCCAAGCUCUUUUGAGAUAUAAAAAACAGGAGCUAGCAGACAGAUGUAGGGGCUUCAUACCACCAAGAAACAAGAGCCAGGAGAAUAGUGCAUCCUUUGUACCAGGGGUCCCUGCGCUGGGAAGUUCCUGGACCAGGGGAAGAUUGAUGACAAGGACCUUCCUCCAGAGCCAACAGAGAGAGAAAGCCUUCUCCUGAAGCUGAUGCCCUGAAUUCGGACUUCUAUCCUACUCGACUGUGAGAGAAUAAAUUUCUCUUUGUUAAAGUCAUCUGCUUGUGGUAUUUCUGUUAUAGCAGCACUAGUUAACUAAGACAGGUGCCUUUGAGUGGAUUUUCAAUUCAUAAUGGCCACAUGUGACAGAGUAAAACAGCCCUAUAGGCUUUCUUAGGCUGUAAUCUUUAAGGAAGCAGAUUGCCAGAUUUUUCUCCUGCAGAGCUGCUCAGUGGGUUGGAUCAGUCAACCUUUUGCUUAGCAGCCAAGCUCUUAACCACUGCAUCACAAGGGCUCCUUCGUUAGUCAUUAGGGAAUGCAAAUUAAAACCACAAUGAGUUAUUACUGCACAACCUUGUCUAGAACGCUCUUUGCUGAUCCCUGGUUAACCCUUUUCAUCCUUCAGAUCUUGGCUGCAAUUCAAAUUAGGUCAGGUAUUUUGACCUGUUACAGCAGUUACCACAGUAGUAAUGUACAUGUGUCUGUGUUGUUAUUUGAUCCUAAUUUUGCAGUAGAAUAAACUGAAGCUUAGUUUUUUUUUUUUUAUAACUUGCCCAAAGUUACACUCCUAGUAAAAUGGUAAAGCUGGGAUUUAACUCCAGUUCUACCUGACACUAACACCUGUGCUUUUGCUACUAUUCUCUUAUGCAUCCUGUGUGUAUUACAACACAAAAGGAUACGCUGAAAAUGACCAAACCUGUAGAAUUCCGUUUCCUUACUAUUGCAGGUAAAUUACAGAUAGGAAGGAAACACACACACUGAGCUUGUGAUUCAUUUAAGGAAGGACACAGAAAUCAGUAGAAGCUGGGGAAAGUGUUAGCAGUGAGAAGGGUAAAGAUAGGACAGACAUGAGAGACACUGGGGAGGUGGACUCCCCUGAAAUGGUCAUAGAGGGACUGGAAAAAGUCAAAUCUGACCCUGAAGUGUCAAGCGUGUUUCUCAAGAAGGAGAAUAUCUUUAUUAAGACAAAUAAGAAAGUCAAGAGGAGCUGUUUUUGUUUUGUGACUUGCUUGGUUUGUUUUGGGUUUGUGGAAGUAGGGCAGAAGAGGGAGAGAUGUAUUUGGUUUUUGACAGCUUGAGUUUGAGGUGUCAAUGCAACAUCUAGGUGGCUAUGUUCACAAGCAAAUGAAACUGUUGACCAGAAUUUAGAAAAGCUUUAAAACUUUGAAGGAAAGGAUUUUAUAUCUUGGUGUCAUUUAUUGGAUAUUUUAAUUGAAAGCAUGAGAGUGCCAAGGCAAAGAAAGAACAGGGUCAGUUUCAAGGAGAACCUAUUUUUACUGGGGAAUAGCAAAAAGGAGCUGGAAAAACAAUUCCAACUACACAAAGAAUCUUCAUUGAUGUAGGCAGAGAAUAUUAGUUAAAGUGAUCAGACACCAAAUGAUAAAAUCUUCAAAAAGGAGAGGAGUAGUCACCAGGAUAAAAUCUCUAGAGAAACAAGGGCAAGAAAAUAAGCCCACCUGAGUUACUUAUUGGGAGACCAGUAUAACUUUUAAGAGUUCAGUCUCACUAGAUUGAUAGGUAUAGGAGCCACAAUUGCAAUUAACUCAUGUGCUGAAUGGGUGGCAGGGUGCUGUGAUUAUGUUUCCUCUUUCAUUUUCAUUUCAGUCAUUAAAAUGGCAUAUUGUCUGUCUAUUACUGUAAGGUGUAAAGAGCUGGCAUAGACUAAAGGAUUCAAAGUCUUAGAGAAAACUGGAAUUUUUCUUUAAUUUCUUUGAUAUAAUAAAUUUCUUUGGAUAUACCACUGAUGUUACUUUUUUUCUGAAUUAGUUUCCCUGUGCAGUUAAAAGAAAGUAUACCUUCUUGCUUUUAUAACGAGGUCAGAUUGUGAACUCAGUAAGUAUAAGUAGGUUGCACCUACUGCUCACUUAUGGACUAUCUCGUUAUCCAAAAUUUUGCAUUUACGACAAUAGUAAAAAGUCUACUACCGAUUAUUUUGUGCAUUAACAAUGAAUGUCUGGCAGUAAUGAAUGCUGAGGUGUGAGGUAAGAAUAAUGCUGGCUGUGAUGGUUAAGGUUUUUAUGUGUCAGCUUGGCUGGGCUGUGAUUCUCAGUGAUUUGGUAGUUAUGUAAAGAUGUAAUUUGGCAGUUGUGUAAUGAUGUAAUCUGGCAAUUGUAUAAUGAUAUUGGAGCCCUGGCGGUGCAGUGGUUAAGAGCUAUGGCUCCUAAUCAAAAGGUCAGCUCUUUGGAAACCCUGCCGGGCAAUUCUACUCUGUCCUAUAGGGUCGCUAUGAGUCAGAAUUGACUGGAUGGCAAUGGGUUUGGUUUUUGGAGCCCUAGUGACAAAAUAGUUAAGAGCUCAGGCUGCCAGCCAAAAGGUUGGCAGUUCAAAUCCACCAGCUGCUCCUUGGAAACCCAGUGGGAUAGUUCCACCCUGUCCUUAUAUGGUUGCUAUGUGUCAGAAUCGACUCAAUGGCACACAAAAAUGACAACAACAUAAUGAUGUAGUCAUCCUCCAUUUUGUGAUCUGAUCCAGUCAUCCUCCAUUUUCACCUAAUGUCAAUUUUUGCAUAGCAACCUAGUCUUUGGAACCUAACCAUGUCCAUAAAUGAGGAGUGGGUAUAUUAUCUUUUACAUUAUGUAUCAACUUCGAUUUAGUGAAUUCUCACUAAAUAAGUGAUCUUUUCCCUCCCCAAGUGAUUUGUAGCUGUAUUUUAGCCAAGGUAUUUUAACUCCAGGGAAUGAAUACAAGUGGCCUAAAAGGACAAUAUUAAUUUAUUUGCCAAGAAGUUGGUAAUUUGAAUAAGCAUUAAUUAUGGCAUUAUUUCUGAAUAUAUUCUUAAUCAUAGCUAUAUUGAUAUUGGCUUAGAGUUUUGAUAUAUUUGGAUGAACUUUCCAUAUGAACAAAUGCCUGAGCAAUCUGAUUAAGCAUCAUAAUGGAUCAGUUGUAUAUUAUGAAGCUCUUGCCAAGACAUUUAGGAACUCAGUUAAGUUAAAAAAAAAAAGUAACACGUCUUUAUUUGAAUUUCAAAUAUGGCUUAAAUUCUGUUCAGAAAAUAAACCUAGAUUAUGAUUAAGAUUUAUCUUACUUUUUGAGGGCUGAUGGCAUUAUUGAUGCAUUAUCAUUAUACUUUCUUUGUUUAAUAUUUAUGAACUGCAUGCUUUAUGCCUGGUAUGAUUGAAAUUAGUAACAAAUCUAUAACUAUUAUGCAUGUUAUUUAAUAACUCAGCUGUUAAAUACAUGGUUGGGUGUUUAAGUUACUGAAACCACAGAAAAUAUUUCCUUCAGUAAGCAUGUUGCCAAAAUCUGUGGCUAUUGUAAUUUCCAAAUAAUAAAUAUUUAUCAAAUGUUUGCCAUGGGUAAUACAUUAAACAAGCUAGUAGUCACAGGGAAUACAGAGACGAAUGCAAGAUUUUCCUUGUCCUCAAUGGACAAAGCCUCCUGGGAAAAUAAAAGAAAUGCACAUGGGAUUUUAGCAUAUAUUAUAAUUAUGUAAUGACAAGUAUAUGCAAUAUAGCCAAGGUUUAAAAAAAGAAAAGGAAAAAAUAUUGGGAACGGGGACAGUUUCAUAAAAGUAAAGACUUGGCCAAUGGAUAUGAUUUUAGUGGCAGAAAUGGGAACGUGUUCCAGGUGGAAGGAACACCAUUAGCAAAAUCAAAGAGAAGGAUUGUUGUUAGCUGCUGUGGAGUGAGCCCCAGACUCGUGGUAAUCCCAUGCACAAUGGAGUGAAAUGCUUCCUGGUCCCUUGCCAUCUCCUGAUUAGUUUUGGAUGCCACUGUUGUAAUCCAGAGAGUUUUUAUUGGCUGAUUUUCAAAAAUUGAUCAUCACACCUUUCUUCCUAGUCCAUCAUAGUCUGGAAGCACCACGGAAACUUGUUCAGCAUGACAGCAACAUGCAGGCUUCCACCAACAAUGGGUGGUGGCUGCGCAUAAGGUACAUUGGUCAGGAAUCAAACCCAAUCUUCUGCAUGGAAGGAGGCUCAAAAUAGAAGUGGCCUGGGCCUUUUUCAACCUCCGAGAAGUUUUGCCAAGACCAUUACAUUUUCUUAUAUGUACAGAGCACAAUCAUUUAUUAAUCUUCUGUAGACUUUGCAUUGAUCAUCUUAAAUGAUGUGGUUUGAAAUACCAGUACUAUGUAAACAGUUCAUAGGAUUUGUGCUAAUCCAGUGUAACUCAUGAAAUUUACUUUUAAUUAUGAAACACACAUUUUCAUCUUGUUGCAUGAAAUUAGAAAAUUUUCUUCUCUAAGAGAGGAACAAGGAAGAGCAAUAAAAUGUGCUGUUGAUAAAAUGUGCCACAUAUGAAUACGAGGUUAUUCUUGUCCAGCAGCACUUCAGAAUUUGCCAUUGUUAAGAGUGUAUAGCUUAAGAUAGUAGGGUCAAGUCUAACAGGAAGAUUGAUUUCCUGUAUAUCACACAGCUGGAGAACCAGCAAAGGUUUUUAAGUAGGAGCUGAUGUCCCCAGGCUUGUAUUUUAGAAAGCCAGCCCUGGUGGUAAGGCAGCUAAGAGCAGAUUGUCACUGCUAUUAGGGAACUUAGGAAGUUUCUCCAGUAGUCCAGCCACAACACAGUAAAUGUUUGGAUUUGGAAAGUGACAAGGAAAAUGAGCCUUUCAGAGGUAAAAAUCAAAACCAUCUAACCCUACUGCCUAUCAUCUUUCCACUUUUCCAGAUUCCUCAUAAGAAUAUGACAAAGGUCCUGCUCUCUUGGUGCUUGUAGUCUAAUUAGAAUAUGACUAGUACGAUUGAUAUUUGGUGUUUAGAUGAAUGGUGCUAGCUCUGAGUACAGCAGGAUGAUAAAUGUAGGUAUAAAAAUAUAUUUUUUGUAGUCUUAAAUAUGGGCUUAGUUAGGCUUCUUAUCAAACUACUGUAUCAGAAUAUUUAUAUUUGAGUUUUUGGCUAGGAUUAUUUGUGGAUGAAAUGGCCAUGCAUUUGAGAGUAUUCUUAAAGAAGUUCACAAAGAUACCUAAUAAAUGCUUUGUAAUGUUUUCAUGAUUAUGGGAGGAAAUUAUAAAUUUAUUUAUAGUUGCAAAGCAGUAAGGAUAUUGUCAUAGUUUAUAUUAUUAAAAUUCUUUAUCCAUGUGGCUGUGUAGUCAUAGAGGCAUACCAAGAGGCAGUCGUCUGAGCAGAACAAGGGUAUACUACGUGGUUUAAAGUCAAGACAAGUAUACGUCAGGGUUGUAUCCUUUCACCGUACAAAUUCAAUCUAUAUGCUAAGUGAAGACAGCUACCUGACCAACUGACUGAAAAACCAAAACCCAUUGCUAUCGAGUUGAUUCUGACUCACAGUGACUUUAUAGAAGAGAUCCAUAUCUAUGCCUAUUCCAAAGAAAGGUGGUCCAACAGAAUGUGGAAAUUAUCAAAUGAGGUCAUUAAUAUUGCAUGCAAGUAAAAUUUUGCUGAAGAUCAUUUAAAAGCAGUUGCAGCAGUACAUCGAUAAGGAAUUGCCAGAAAUUCAAGCCAGAUUCAGAAGAGGAUGUGGAGCCAGGGAUAUCAUUGCUGAUUUCGGAUGGCUCCUGCUUGAAAGCAGAGAAUACCAGAAAUAUGUUUACGUGUGUUUUAUUGUCUAUGCAAAGGCACUUGACUGUGUGGAUCAUAACAAAUUAUGGAUAACAUUACGAACAUUGUGAAGAAUGGGAAUUCAAGAACACUUAAUAGUGUUCAUGCAGACAACCUGUGCAUAGACCAAGAGGGAAUCAUUAGAAAAGAACAAGGGAAUACUGUGUGGUUUAAAGUCAGGAAAGGUAUGUGUCGGGGUUAUAUCCUUUCACCAUACUUAUUCAGUCUAUAUGCUGAGCAAAAAAUCCCAGAAGCUGGACUUUAUGAAGAAGAAUGGGGCAUCAGAAUUGGAGAAAGACUCAUUAACAACCUGCGAUAUGCAGAUGACACAGCCUUGCUUGCUGAAGGUGAAGAGGACUUGAAGCAGUUACUGAUGAAGAUCAAAGACCACAGCCUUCAUUAUGGAUUACACCUCAAUAUAAAGAAAACAAAAAUCCAAAAUCCUUACUACUGGACCAGUGAGCAACAUCAUGAUAAACGGAGAAAAGAUUGAAGUUGUCAAGGAUUUCAUUUUACUUGGUCCACAGUCAACACCCAUGAAAGCAGCAGUAAAGAAAUCAAAUGAUACAUUGCACUGGGAAAAUCUGCUGCAAAAGACCUCUUUAAAGUGUUAAAAAGUAAAGAUGUCACUUUGAGGACUAAGGUCUGCCUGACCGAAGCUAUGGUGUUUCCAGUCGCCUCAUAUGCGUGUGAAAGCUGGACAAUGAAAAAGAAGACUGAAGAAUUGGUGCCUUUGAAUUAUGGUGUUGACAAAGAAUAUUGAAUAUACCAUGGACUGCCAAAGGAAUUAACAAAUCUGUCUUGGAAGAAGUAUAACCAGAAUCCUCCUUAGAAGCAAGGAUCGUGAGACUUUGUCUUACAUAUUUUGGACAUGUUAUCAGGAGGGGCCAGUCCCUAGAGAAAGAUGUCAUGCUUGGUAAAGUAAAGGGUCAGCGAAAAAGAGGAAGACCCUCAAUGAGAUGAAUUGACACAGUGGCUGCAACAAUAGACUCAAGUAUGACAAUGAUUGUGAGGAUGGCGCAGGACUGGGCAGUGUUUCGUUCUGUUUACAUAUGGUUGCUGCCUUAGUUAUCUAGUGCUGCUAUAAACAGAAAUACCACAAGUGGAUGGCUUUAACAAAGAAAAUUUAUUCCCUCACAGUCUAGUAGGCUACAAGUCCAAAUUCAGUGUGCCAGCUCCAGGGGGAGGCUUUCUCUCUCUGUUGGCUCUGUGGGAAGGUCCUUGUCAUCAAUCCUCCUGAAUCUAGUAGCUUCUCUGCACAGGAACCUUGGGUCCAAAGGACAAGCUCUGCUCCAGGUGUUGCUUUCUUGGUGGUAUGAGGCCCCCAUGUGUCUCUGCUGGCUCCUCUCUUUUAUAUCUCAAAAGAGACUGGCUUAAGACACUAUCUAAUCUUGUAAAUCUCAUAACUGCUGCUAAUCUCUGGUGAACAUCAUAGUGAUAGGAUUUACAACACAUGGAAAUCACAUCAGAUAACAAAAUGGUAGACAGUCAUACAAUACUGGGAAUGAUGACUUAGCCAAGUUGACACAUAUUUUGGGGGGACACAAUUCAAUCCAUGACAGUUGGUAUGAAUUAGAACUAACUCGAUGACACCUAACAACAACAUAUAUAUAUAUAUAUAUAUGUAUGUAUGUAUAUAUAUACACAUAUACCCAUUGCCGUUGAGUCGAUUCCAACUCAUAGCAACCCUAUAGAACAGAGUAGAACUGCCCCAUAGAGUUUCUAAGGAGCGCCUGGUGGAUUUGAACUGCGGACCUUUCGGUUAGCAGCCAUAGCUCUUAACCACUACGCCACCAGGGUUUCCAUAUAUAUAUACACACAUACUUAUAUACACACACACACAUAUACAUACAUAUAUACAUACACACACACAUAUAUAUAUACACAUACAUAUACACAUAUAUAUAUAUAUAAACCAAAAAAAAGACAAACCCACUGCCAUCGAGUCGAUUCCAACUGGUAGUAACCCUAUAGGACAGGGUAGAACUACCAUAUAGGAUUUCCAAGGCUGUAAAUCUUUUAUGGAAUCAGACUGCCACAUCUUUCUCCCAGGGAGUGGCUGGUAGAUUUGAACUCCUGACCUUUCAGUUAUCAGCCAAACACUUUAACCACUGUGCCACCAUGGAAACACUGGUGGCAUAGUGUUUAAGUGCUAAGGCUGCUAACCAAAAGGUCGGAAGUUCGAAUCCACCAGGUGCUCCUUGGAAACUCUACGGGGCAGUUCUACUCUGUCCUCUAGGGUCCCUAGGAGUCGCAAUCGACUUGACGGCAGUGGGUUUUGGCAUAUAUAUAUAUAUAUAUCCCAUUCAAAUGUGUGAGGAAGGAGCAGGAGGGGCACCAGAGAUUAUCAGGGUUUAGGGCCCUCACAUCCCUGAAUCCAACCCUGUUUGUACACUAUGCCCAUAUGUUGGCUGUUUACACUUAUAUUAGCAUAUUAAAGGCUCAGAAAUCUUGUAGUAAAGAAACUUAUCUCCUUUCCUUUCCUUUAACUCAGUAUUUCCAAAGCUUAUUUCCACAUAGAAUCCUUGACUUCAGGUUCUGCUAUUAACAUCUCGGAAAACUAGCAUUCUCUGAAAAUAAUGUUCAUGGAACAAAGUUUAAGAAGUGCUAUCCCCAGAUAUUAGAGUCCAAAGAACCUUCACAGUGGUUGAUGGAGAGACGCAAAUGGGAAAGACAGUUUUAAAUUUUGCAUGUAGUUCUAAAGGGAUAAGUGUACCAGUUCAAAUAGAGUUGUCAUUGUGUUUUCAAAAACUGGCUUUCUGAGCGGAAUAUAGUAUAUUGUGAGUACCUGUCAACUUUGCUUAUCCUUUCCUCUGUCAAGAGUUUAAAAAUUACAAGAACUCUUUUUUUAUGUGUGAAAAUUCAAUUAUUUUUUUCCUUGACAUCUUUAUAACUAUUACAGAUUAUUUAAUUCAGUUAGGUAAUUUGUUCAACCUGUCUCUUUCUUGAAUUAUAACUUGUUACCUGCCUAUAUACUCUUGGUAAAUACAAGAGUGCUAGAAUAAUAUUAAGAAAGAAACAUGUAUGAUAGUUUUAGGUUCUCACUCUCCCUACCCACAGGUGUAUUUUUCUUACUCUGCUAUUGUCAUUUGGAGUGAGAAUGCUUGACUAUUUCAAUGAGAGUUAACUGGAGGUACUAAUCAUAGCAUUAUACAGCUCUUUAUCUCCCCUUUGGAAAAUAGGUGCUCAAAAGGAAAAGAGUUCAAAAGAUAAAAUAUGUGGACCAUUAUAGUAAGUCUUAGAGUGUUUUCAUGAAGGGGUUAAUGUUAUUGUUUGUUUCUUACCAACUGCGAAGAUAUAUUUCAACCCACCUUAGUCAUGGCACUGGAGGGCGUGUUGAAGAUUGCUCUUUUUAAAUAAGCCGCCUGAGGCCCAGAGGGGCUGUGUAGUUUGACCAAGAAUGAAAACUGAGUUUCCCAUCCCUGAAGCUUGUCCUCUCACCUCUACAGCAUGUUGCGUCUUAUUUUACCUUUUAAAAGUUUUGUUACCAGGGAGACUUCACAUCGGGGAUAGUAGAUGACAGUCUCCAUGACGGGAUUUGCAAGAGACCUAGGAAGCCCCAUAACCAAGAUUAUUUUCCCCACAACGUGUCGUUUUGACAUGGUAGAGAUAGAUUGCUUCAUACGUUGAAGGAUUAUCAGUCUUAAAAGCCUCUUAUUAAAAUGUAAAUAUACCUGGAGGAAUCUCUCCUAAGCUUAUACUGGGUUAAAAUUGUAUCUCAGAGAUUAGCUGAUCAAAUUGGUUUCCAAACAAGAGAGCUGAGGGGCAGAGGGGCACCACUGGACAGGGGCAGAGGUCAGUGUAACAGUGUUCUAGAACUUGGUUUAUCUUACAACUCUAAGAGCGGCUCUAUUUUUUUUUUCUUUUUAGAUCUGUAUAUUUUAAAUGAAAUGGAUAGUUAAUGAAAUGAAUUCUGAGUGGAUAGAUGGAGUCACAAAUGUUGCAAGGCAUAAUUUUGAGCCAGGUGUCAACAAUUUGAGUGUGUCCCGUAAGGUUUCCAAGGCCGUAAUCUUUACAGAAACAAACUGCCACAUCUUUCUCCCUCAGAGCGGCUGAUGGGAUUGAACCACUAACCUUCUGGUUAGCAGCCUAGAGCUUAACCACUGCAUCGCCAGGGCUCCUUUUCUAAAAUUGAAACGUAUGAAUUCCUAUGGAAGAGAUCUGCUUGGUCUAGUUUGUAUCUUUUUUGUGGGGGGGGGAGCGGAUAAGGUUAUGAGCAUAAAUGUGGCAUCUGGAGCUCAUACGUGUUUUUUGAGGGGUUAAUUAAGAACUGGGAAAAAGAAAACCUUCAGAGUUAAAUGUUAAAAUAUUAUAAACUGAAUAAAUACCAAGAGAAGAGUAGCUCUUAUCCCCAUAUUCGGGCCUUGAUACUACUAGAAUGUCUGUAGAUACAGCGUUCUUAGAAGGUCUGAUGUUCAGCCGGUAUCCCUUAGUAUACUGGACAGUGAUUUACAGGGAGCUCGCUUCUGGUUGGUCAGUGCUUGUGUUAUAAAAAAAAAAAAAAAAAAUUUUUUUUUUUUUUUUUAUAGCACUUGUUAAAUAUUUUGAAUUUUACCUCUAUUCCCUUGUACAGUUUUAGAAAAACCAGAUAGAAUCCAAUAAAUAUUUAAGUAUACAUGUAGGAACUAAGAGAGAUUAUGACAGUUCUUAAAAACAUUUCUUUUGUGACUCUUGGUGCUGGUGUUGCAUUUCUAGAUUCCAGAAACUAAAUUCCAAAUGACAAAGUGAAGGGAAGAAAUGUAUGAAAGCCACAAUUUCUGAAAUCAAAGUUGAGAAGAUUCCAAUUUUUCCGUAGUUACUGCAGACAGGCAGUGUUCAUUAAUCUGUGAAAUUAACAGACGACUGUACUGAGUAUUAUUUUUAGAAAAGAGGACAAAUCUUGUGUUUUAUUUGUAUAUGUAUUACCUUGAAAAUUAAGCUAUUAGGUUUCCUUGAAGUCUGAGGUGAAAUAAUUUGCUUACUCUACUUCCUCUCAGUACUUAUUCUUAGGACCACUCUCUAACCCCACAUAGAAUAACUGCCAAUAGCUUCUGUUUAAUGCCAGAAUCCACCCACUUAUUUAUAUUUGUUUAUAGAAAUUACUUACAUGGAUUUCAUCAGAUGUUUGCAUUUCAAGGGGGAAUUAUUUAUUGAUAAUCGCAUAACAGUAAAUAGAAUCAAACUUAUGUAUACAUAAUGUUUAAUGGUGAUCAGCACAGUUUUAAAGAGGCCCAAAUUGAGGGGGUGGCUAAGGUGUUAUACUUACGGUCUUUACUCUCUGACUUUCUAUUUUGGGGGAUUAAGGGAUCAUAGUUAAUGGUUCAAUCAUAUGGUUUUUCCAAUUAAAUGAGAAAAAUUACACUUAUGACAUAAAGAAAUCUACAAGCCUCCAUUUCCAUGAGAUACUUGAACUGCAAAGAUCCUGUCUAAAAAGACUGUUAUCCAUUUGAUGAAGGUGACACUGGAUUAUUUAAUUUCUGAUAAUUAAGAAAAACAAGUUAUAAGAAAAAAAAUGUAUGGUUGGUGUAUAUUGCUCAUGUCUUUUCAAAUAUACAUUAGUUCUCACAAAAUGCACAGUCACAGUGGAGUCUUUUUAGGUAGUUCAUGGACCCCGUUGUGUUAGCACCUUCAUGGUACUCAGCCAAUUUGCUUCAUUUCUGACCUAGUAGGACCACCUCUAGGGAUCAGAGAGUAGCUAGGUCUUCAUGCCUAUUCAGACCCGGGAUUCUCUGCUGAGACCACCAACAGAGGUGCAAAUUUUGAUGUUCUGUAUAUCUUUUUCCCCCUAAUAUGAGCAUUUAUGCAGUAAGGACUCAACUAAAACUACUUGACUUUGAGUAACUAGUGAUGUAGCCAGGGUCAAAAAGUUGCCCUAAAUAGGAGGUUCAGAUUCAAUGGCUUCUUCAUGGAGGUGUGUACUUACAUAUUUGACCUGAUUCAGUUUUAUACCUUUGCCUCAAUGACGCAGCAGCGUCUAACUUUUGGAGGCCAGGAGCUCAAAUGUGUCUGUGUUACUUCUGAAAACAUGAGAACUGCACAGGGCAAAUCAUUGUGUUGUCUCAGGUUUUCUAAGAGAACUUGAAAUCAGAUGCAUUUAUUCAUAAAGGUACACAGUUAACACGUGACUAAUCCUCACUGAGUGGAACCUUAAAAAAAGUCUUUGAAAAAGAUCUUAUGGUGUAGGUUUCACUUUAAAUAUCCUAUCAUCAGUUUUUUUUUUUUUAAACUAAUACCUUUACAUUUAGGUCUCCAUUCAUUUUUCCCAGAUAUGAGAGAACAAAGGUUAGGAGAAGGUGUAUAUUAUCCCAGACAUUGAUUACAGUUGUCCCAACUCUCCAAACUGAGAAAGCGGCAGGUGUUGUUUUUGUAUAGUGCCUCUCUCCAUGGAGGAGAAAUAAGGAAGACAAUGGGCAGAAUGGAAGAGUACCGGAUGCAGGUAAAGAGGUUCCAUUUCCAUUGCAAGAAGGUGAAAGACUUAGAAAAAGUUUCUGUGUAAGCGGAUUGAAAGAACACGUAUUUUUCCUCUUAUACACAAAACUCAGUCCUGGAAAUGUAAUUGAAUCAGUGUUCUAAUGAUAUGUUUUUCAGACUUCUCAAAAUCUUAAAAAAGAGUUCUUAUACCUCCCACUUAAAAAAAUAAAAUAAUAAAUAAAUAUAUAUGUAUAUAUUAGAAAUAAGUUUCUUUUUAUAUUUAAAUGAAAAGUUAGUGGUAGCCACUUAAGACAACAGUGAAGUAUUAUUUUAAACAUUUUGUCAUGCCUCUGGAGUGUAGUCAGGCCCACUAUUACUAGAAAGUUUAGCAAGAUUUUCCUAAAUGCUGUAGAAAGCAUGACCAAUUGGUUUAAUUUGCCAAAUAUAGACCUAACUGUAGGCAAGAAUUGUUAAUUGCCUGCGUAAUUUUAACAGCAUGACUGCUGCCAAACCCAAUAACUCAGUUCUUUCAAAGCCAUAAUUUGGGUUAGUAUCUCAUUGACCAUCAGUAUUGAUAGAAUUAAUCAGAUAAUCACAAAUCCUUCACUUUUAAUUUGUGUUAGUCCUACCUGGAAGUUCUCAUUCUGUUGGGAGUUAAGAAUCAGAAAAAUUUGUUAUAAUAGACUCUUAAUUUUUUUUAAAAAAAGUAGAGUUACAAACCGUCAUAUAAUUACAUUGUUUAAAUGUAUGUGUAGUUACUAUGAGUCAAAUCAACUUGACAGCACACAACCAUGAGUUAGAAAGAUGAAUACUAAAAUGUUAGUAGCUAUUAUUUCUGGAUGAUGAGAUCAGUUGUAAUUUUUGGAAAAAAUAAAUAGUAAGAAAACAAAAGUUCUAUGAAAAUCUUUGGAUCAAUUUGUAGUGAUAACCAAACAACAUGGUAAUUCUUCCUUAAAGAGAAUUAACACAUACUAUGUGGGUUCAUGUGGAUAUUUAUAUUGUACAUAUAUUCUAGAAAAGUUGAAUGUAAAUCAAAUGAAGGGAAAGAACACCUUAUUGGAUCAGACAUUUGCUCUAACUCCAAUUAUCUCUGACAGUAAUGCCAAGUGUUGACCUGAAAAUGUUAUAGAUUAACCCCAAGCCUCCUUAAUUACCACUAGAGACCUGUCCAUUAAUUAAUAUAAAAUUCUCUUAGGAGUUACCAUUUAAAAAUUAUAUUUACAUAUAACUAAUUACUUUCUAAAUCAUGAAUUUUAAAACAAGGUGUUUGGGAUUUAGCAAAAUUUUGGAUUUUUUUUUAAACAGGGCUUUGUGUUUUUGCUAUACACCUUAGAUUUAUCAAAGUAUAUGAGAUCAAAGAGUCAGAAAAUUACCUGAGGGAUUCUGGGGACUUUGUAUCAAUCAUUAAUGAUAUUCAAAUUAUUUAAUUUGGUAGUAAAAUUAAAUGUAUUUUUUUCUUUCUCACAUGAAAAUACAUGUUUAAUGUGGAUUAUAAUUUCAAGUUGGAUUCUCCCAGUUAAGUAACAUUUAAUAGUUUGAUCUGUUUAUCACUCAUAUCAAAAUUUAUUGUGGAAAUAGAGCCUUUUAGAAAGAAUGAAAAUAAUUUUAUUCUGUCAUUAUCAAUAAUCUGUUCAGUUUCUCUUUGGUGAAAUUGAUAGAUUUCUUCGUAUUGAUUUUUUGUUAAUGAAACUCAUUUGCAACUAAUAAUAUUUACCGUAAAAAAUUAUAGGGUGGUAUUCUGAAUAAUAGCUGGAGAGUCUCACACACAUAGUCCUGGUCUGAUUCUAAUAAUCUGAUUUGUGCUUUUUGGAAAUUAUUCCAUUGUCUAUGUCAUACUUUUCGUAUUGUAAAAUACAGAUAACUAUAAUUUCAUUCUUUUUAAAGAUUAUUUGAAUUAAGUCAUAGUUUUUAAAGUACUCAGAAUAAAAGCCUAGAAAAUAUAUUACAGUCCAUUAUCCUAAAAAGAAAAUAUUAAAACAUCACAUUUAUUAUGAAACUAAAAAGUGGACUAAUGUCUGUCAUUUGUCAACUUUCUAACGGCCUGUUCUUGAAUGUAUCUAGGUCUUGGGCUUAUCCAUUUGUGAUUGUUUUCAGGGAUACUCUAUAAAAUAUGUGCUAUAUUACCUGGGCAGUUUUCAUCAAAUAGUAUUAUUUUCAUUUUGACACCUAGUUUUUAAGUGAAGAAUGAUUAAUUAAAAUACAUGACAAAACAAUUAGAUUCCCUUCACUUUCCACACAAAAUUGGUUGAUUAAACUUUUGCAUCGCACUGUAGCAAUUAAAUUGCCCAGUAAGAAUACACUCAGCUACAAAUUUAACAGCUCAUAAACUAAUGAAAAAAAAAAAUUAACAAACUACUGAGCUAAAAAUGGCUUAACCUGUCUGUAACUUCUUCAGUUAUUAGAAAACUCUUAUGAGGAAGAUUCUAAGAAGAAAGAGAAGGAGGGAGGGAGAAAAAUCACUUGGCAUUUAUUUGGCAGUAGAGCCAGGCUUCCUGCUUAGCGGCAGAACAGCUAUUUGAAUGUAAUGGACCACAUCACAAACCUCACAGAUUGUUAUACAGUGAUCUUUGCAGCCAGAAGUUCCUUUUGUGAUCUUAGUUCCAGAGAUUAUAGCUUCUUUCCUACUUAAAGUAGGAAUUGGACCCAUGAGGCUCUCCAUUAUAACAUAUAAUGAGUCUAAUUCUAUGCAAGGCAGAUGUUCACUAACUUAUGUUCAGUAGCUCAUUUGAUCUCUACAGCAACACUUCGGGGUCAGCAGUACCAGUUGUCAUCAUCCCUUUUUACUCCUGAAAAAGUAGGUGCUAAGAGAGGUGACUGCUCAAGGUGAUACAGCUAGCAUUUGGGCCCGAACCCUAAAACUACCGUGUCCAGUGCAGAUUGUAAGAAGGUCUGUUUUGUAAAUUAGUGCCCAUCACAAUGCCUGGUACCUGGCUGUCAUUCAGCAAAUAUUUGUUGAAUGAAUUAAUGAUCAUAAGAAAUAAAUUUUUCUGUAUCCAAGAUCCAGUCUUUCUGUUACAUCAUAGCUUCUUCAUCAUUCUUCCUAUUCUGAGUGAGAUUUUUAGAUUCUAAAAAAUCCUUGAAAAUGGAAUGCCUUGUUUUUUCUCCUAGAAAUGCUGUUCAAUACUAGUUGUAUAUCCAGUUCCAGGUUGAUAUGAAAUACAGAAUUAUUAGAAUUUUUUCUCCUAGUAGGAAAUUUUGUCUUUCCAUUAGUUUAGAAUUUUGUACGCAUUUUAAGAAACCUCAUCUUUUUUUUUUUUUUGCAAUGCUGAUGUCAGUAUUACUUGCCAUGUUCAUUUUGAAAAUCUUUUAUGGCCUUCCUUUAUGGCUUAUAUUUUCAGUGAGCAUGUGGGGACCCAAGAUGCUGAAUUUCAUGGAAUUUUCAUGUGAAGGUUCCCAGUUGUGUUUAUCAAAGAAUGAGAUAAGACCACCUGCAUCAAAAUCACCCAGGUGCUUCUUCAAAUACAAAUUCAGGGUUCCCAGGGCCCAACCCUGGGCUUUAAAGUUUCAGGACCACUGACACGCAGACUAAGAUAUGCAGACUACAGGUUUAUGUUUAUGUUUAUGUCUAUGUAAAUCCUCUUGGAAAGAAUUGGGUUUUGAAUUUUGUAAGUCUUUUUUUUAGUUGCCAUUUUUAUGACUGAUACUAGUCAUUAUUUCAUGAAGAUACAAAUUCAUUUAUUAACCUAGUAGCAAUAUCUUGGUAUAUUUCUUAUGAUCUAAUUGUCAUUAUCAAAUACUUAUUACUUUUUUUUUUUUAAAUGCAAGUACCUGACUCGGGAUUGGAUAUAAUGAGAGGAUUAAGACAGGUCACACUGCCUUCACUCAUAUUAUGGUCAUAACUUGUGGAGACAAGAAUAAUAUAUAAGUAGAUAAGAAAAUAGGAAGCAAAUUAUAUAUAAAUAAAUAGCAAAUAUAUACCAAAUGGGAGCUUCUAAGAUGUUACAUAGUAGGCCUUCACUGGCAUCAGUUAUUAUGUAGCCAGAAUACAUUUUACUUGUUGAAAAUGAAGACAGCUGGAAUCAAUUACUGAUGAAGGUCAAAGACUACAACCUUCAGUAUGGACUAUGCCUGAAACUGAAGAAAACAAAAAUCGUCAUAGCUGGACUGAUAAACAACAUGAUAAAUGGAUAAAAAAUUAAAGUUGUCAACAAUUUUGUUGACUUAGACCAACAGUGAAUGUCAAUGGAAGUAGCAGUUAAGAAAUUAAACAACAUAUUGCAUUAGGCAGAUAUGCUGCGAAAGCCCUUACAGUUUUAAAAAGUAAACACAUUACUUUGCUGACUAAGGUGCACCAGACCCAAGCCAUGACCUUUUCAAUCAUUUCAUAUGCCCAUAAAAGCUGGACAAUGAAAAAGGAAGACAGAAGAAGAAUGUAUACAUUUGAACUGUGGUAUUGGUGAAGAAUAGAAUAUUGAAUACAGGUAAUCCCUGACUUCCAUUCAAGUUAUGAUGAACCCCACUUACGACUGUCCUUUUCUCUUUUUGGACAUCUUAUCAUUAACAAUAUGUACUGUAUGUAUUGUUGCAGCAUGUAAUUUGCUGAUGUUAUCAUUCUUAAACGUUCACUCACAGAUGUUCAAUUUACGAUUUACUGUUCAAAAUGCUGCCGUAUAGAUUUAGUUUUCUAAACUACAUCGGGGGCUUCAGUUACUUGAAAACAUGAACCCAAAUGCUGAUUGCUUUGCUAAAGUCAGUAAGCAAAUUUGGGAAGCAGUGAGAUGUUACCGUGAAGUAACUGAAGAAAAAAAGAAAAGGACCAUACAGACAACAUUCACUAAUUUACUGACUAGAAAAACCAUCUCAUUCCCAGGAAUAAUCCAGAUGAUCCAGAGCCUUCUACAAGAGGAGUUAUUACUGCAACUGACAAAAUGCUAAUGUCAUCAUUGGAGUAAAUUUUUAUGAUUUGUAUAUUUUUUAUGUAUGUAUAUAUUAGAAUAUAUCUGUAAGUUUAUAUGUAAUCUUUCCAAGCCCAAAGACAAAAAUGGUAUUUAAAAAGAUACUGAUAAUAAAAGGCUGAUACUGAAAACAAAGCAAAACAAAAAUGAGGUAUCUAACUUAUGUCAGAACCAACUUAUGACAGAGUCAUCAGAACAGAACCACAUUGUAAGCUGGAGACUACCUGUACACCAUGGACUGCUGGAAGAACUGACGAAUUGGCCUUAGAAGAGAUACAACCAGAAUGCUCUUUAGGAGUGAGGAUGGUGAGACUUUGGCUUGCUUUCUUUGGAUAUAUUAUCGGGAAAGACCAAUCUCAGGAAAAGGACAGCAUGUUUGGUAACCUACGAGGUCAGCAAAAACGAGCGAAAUCCUUAAUGAAAUAGAUUGGCACAACAGCCACAACAGUGGACUCAGACAUGCCAGAAAUUAUGAAGAUGGCAUGGGACUGGGCAACAUUUCAUUCUGUUAUACGUAGAGUCACCAUGAGUUGGAGCCAAUUUGACAACAACUAACAACGAUGACAGUUUUUACUGAAGGCAUUUUUUGUGGUUGGUAACAUUUCAAACAAAUCCAGUUUUACCAUGACUCUGACAAUGCAACCCAGUUGCCGGGCUAGUGUGUCUCUUGGCCCAUAUCAGUGGAACAGCUUAGGGCCAGCCUGCCGUUCAAAAUGAAGGGCCUAUCUUUGAAGAUGAUGUGAUACCAGGUCAAUAUGUUACUUCAGCUGACUCUAGCAUAAGAUGUCUAAGAGCUAUGGUCCUGAAAAUUAGCUUUCUGGAUCGAGAUGGUUUAUUAGUUGGCAGUUAAGAAAUUCUGCAUGCAUUCUCCAAACCUAAGGUUAAGGCAGUAAAGAAAUUGGGCCUUUCAACACUUAAAGAAAGGUGGAGGUGAAAUGAAAUAGCCAUUCAAAACAGCAAAUAAUUGAGUCUCUCUGUUAGCAGACAUGAGGUCAAGUACAUAUAGCCACAGCAAUGAUACAGUCUGCAUUCUAAACAGCUGAGUUUUUUAUUUGAAAGUGAUUAGAUUGGAUUGUUGGGAACUAAUUAAAAUGAGAUUUUCAUUUAGAAGGGUACCGAUAUAGUUUGAAAGAUACCAUAAGGGAUUCAAAUAUGGCCAUUUACUUUAUUUUUUCAGCCUUCUCAUUAGUUCUGUAGACUUAAAAUCUUUGGGUACUAUUGCUUUAUCUUUUUUUUUUAUCUGAAUCAUAUUAUAUGUUUGUUUUAAAUCUGUAAUUAAUCAUUCUAAAGGAGAAUAUUGAUUAUGUGAUUAGGUCAAUAUAACUAUGAGUAAAUAGACUUUUCUGUAUUAAAAUUUAAUAAAAAGGAAAUAAUGACUCCUGAAAUAUUUGAAUUAGCUACCACUGCAUCAUAGGACUCAUCUGAGUAUUGUAUUUAUAUCUUUAGACCCUAGAAUUAUGAGGAUUUAGGGAAUUGUAAUUAUAAAAGAUGAUAUGCUCAGAAAAUGUUCCUCUGUUUCUAACACAACACCAUAUA